GGGGUUGUGGCUCAGUGGUAGAGCACUUGCCUAGCAUGUGUGAGGCCCUGGGUUCAAGUCUCAGUACCG
rnacentral:tRNA from 1 species